CUGAAGUGUCCUGGCUAGCUGAGCUGGUCCAUGGUGCGUCUGUCGAUGGACCCUUGGUGUUACCCUUUACUUGGGCAGCUGUCACCGUGGAAAUGAAACAGGUUCUGAGGAGGAGAGCUGAUGAAGGGGUUUCAGUGGACUAAUGUACUGCCAGCGGCAAGAAG